GUUUGUCGAGGAGUAGGGGGUGCUGUCACUAGACCAAAGAACCUGCCCGUUACUCUCUGCGUUCGCUCUUUGCUACUCUCGAUGACCGGCCCAGGGCCUCUAGGAUCGGGCCUCAGUAGGACGCGCCGUUUCCUUGGCUACGGCGUUCUGGGUACUGGGGUUGGGACCCAAAGGCCGUCCAAACGUUCCCCUCCCUGUCCUGCCUUGUGACGGUGGUCGGCGAGGCUCAGCCCGCAGCUGGGGAACUGUUAGGCCAGAGAACGCGUUCGGUAGCGCCCCCAGCUGGGGAACUGUUAGGCCAGGAGUUCGGUAGCGCCAUAGUCGCGCGUCGUCUCCGGUACCGGCUCCCAGCGCUGUCCUGACUCGGAGGUGAACAGACCGGGCUUCCCGGACUCUGGUGCCUUCGCUGCCCAGGGCGGCGGACCCAUGGCUACCGUGACUGUGCCCCGGGAUUUCUCACCAGAAUGCUUGACUGAAUUCCCAAACCUGCCAGGAUGUUCCUCCCAGCAACCAGCAUUUCUCAGUUUCACUUUUUUUGGUCAUCCUUACCAAUCUCGCAGGAACUCCAUUCCCUGCCCAGUCCUGGCAAGGCCAGCAUGCACAAACAGACAGUUGGUGAUGUUCUCCAGGCCUGGGGAACCUGGAGAGCCUUGGGAAAGGCCACAUCUGUAGCCCAGGUUUGAGAAGAGCCCCCAGACUCAGCUACCCUUCGUGCAGAACAUGCUGAGCUUUGACUGUUUCCCUGCCUGUGGCCAGCUCUUUGUCAGCUAAGCAGACAGGGCUGCCCCCCAAAUGGAGAGUGCCCAAGGCUCCUCGCUGGAGCCUGCUGUGGGCCGGUCUGCAGCUGCCACCUUGACCUCUUAGCUGACCCAGAAGUGGGGAGCCAGCCCUCCCCAUGUGGAAGAGAGCCCCUUGGAGGAGCUGGGGCUGAACAGCCCUACUCUGCCAAGCUGCUGAGGAGAGGGAGCCAGCCCCUCAGGGCCCUCCCCGCCCUCCCCUCUCCAGCCCAGCAAUGGCUCAGAGACAUCCCAAGACAGAAGGUGCCUGGGCUU